rnacentral:rRNA from 1 species
GAUCAUGGCUCAGAUUGAACGCUGGCGGCAGGCCUAACACAUGCAAGUCGAACGGUAACAGGAAGCAGCUUGCUGCUUUGCUGACGAGUGGCUGACGGGUGAGUAAUGUCUGGGAAACUGCCCGAUGGAGGGGGAUAACUACUGGAAACGGUAGCUAAUACCGCAUAACGUCGCAAGACCAAAGAGGGGGACCUUAGGGCCUCUUGCCAUCGGAUGUGCCCGGAUGGGAUUAGCUAGUAGGG